rnacentral:tRNA from 1 species
GGUCCCGUAGUUCAAUGGAUAGAAUAGACGUUUCCUAAACGUUAGAUAUGGGUUCGAUUCCCGUCGGGACUACAA